rnacentral:rRNA from 1 species
UACAGAGGGUGCAAGCGUUGCUCGGAAUUAUUGGGCGUAAAGCGCACGUAGGCGGUUUGUUAAGUCGGAUGUGAAAUCCCUCGGCUCACUGAGGAAGUGCAUCCGAAGCUGGCAGGCUUGAGUACUAAAGAGGGUCGCGGAAUUCCCGGUGUAGAGGUGAAAUCGUAGAUAUUGGGAAGAACACCGGUGGCGAAGGCGGCCAUCUGGACGGACACUGACGCUGAGGCGCGAAAGCGUGGGGGAGCAAACAGG